ACCAAUCGUUUAUUAGUUUCAAUUCAAACGUUACGCACUACAUAAGCUCUACCAUUUGAACAACUGUAUAAUAAUCGGAUCCAACAAGUGUUUCCUUCGUUAUCAUCAAUGAAAAUUUUAUCAUCGGCGAUAUUCGUCGCUGGGUAAAGUUGUGCCCAUAUUUUACUACAUUUUCUUUUUUCAUCCAAACGCGUUUGAAUAUUGGACUUCGAUUAACGCCACGACAAAUUAUCGAGUUAUUUUUUUUUUUUUUUGUACGUACGUAUAUCUUUACCUGUAAGAUGGUAUAUUUUGUGUACGGAAUGAUCAGCGUGUCCGUAUAAUUAAUUAUCAUCAUAAACCUAUAAAUCGUUUUAGCAUUAUGUAGAAUACUGCACAUGUUACGUAAUUUAAAAUCCACACAGCGUACGUGCGAAGCACAAUUCCGACCGCAUGUUAUACAUAUUGGAACGUGAAAGAAAAGAAAAGGAAAGCAAAGAAAUAAUAUCACUGUGAAUCAUUGCAUGACGUUGCGGAUGGAAGGUGCACGGUAAGAUAUACAUAACCAGCUUUGUUUCAGCGCAUACACAUAUAUUUAUACGUAUAUGUAUACAACGACGAAGACGACGAUGUCGAAGGCGACGAUGUUACACAUAUGCAUACUAAACUGUAGCCAAUUUAAUUUAACGCGACUGAAACGUCAUGUGGAGAAUUAUUUAUUUCCAGAUAAGGCGUGUUUUCAUUUUUCUUUAGAGACAAUAAUAUUCAUUUUACCCCACCUUUAAUACUGCUGGACAAUUCUGAUUUAUUGUGCAUUUAUCACACUUUUUAAAUAUACUAACCAGAUAAAUAGUUGAAAAUCUAUUUCGUUUAUUGUAUGCUGUACAGAGAAAAAGAGAGAGAGAGAGAGUGAGAGAGAGAGAGAGAUGAGAAGGCAGGAAAAAUAUACUGAAAAAUAAUUGUCAUGCCGCAGCUCUGAAAAUAGCGGUUUUCUCUUGGCGGAGAGGAGUUCCGAAGAAGGAGAGGAGCUUCCUUAUCUUGUACUGACUUCUUAACCUCUCGCCUGUGAUAAUAUGGAAAUAACGCCACCAACAGAGAAGCGGCGAACCGUGAUUAUAAUAUACCGUCAGCUUCUUCUCUUCGUUGCCGUACUUCGACAAUUUCGCCGAUACGUCCACGCGUAUAAUAAUAAUAAUAAUGAUAACAACAAGAAUAAUAAUACCACAGGGAUAAUGUAAAUUUAUGACAUACGUGCAUUGUGCGCUAUUAUGCGUAUUACAUAGGCAUGCCGACGCAUUGCACGGGGUGGACAAAAGAGACUAGCCAGCUAGCUGCAACCUAUAAGACGUAUUGAAAUAGGCGCGUUGCCCCUUUUCUCUUCUUUCAAAUUUAACCCUUUGAGUCACACAUUAUUGUGCAGAGUCAACGUUUAUAACAAGAUGGUAUUCCACGGUAUUUCGGCUCGCUGAUUACGAAUCUGAAAUCAUAUUUUGACAAUUCGAGGCAGUGGAUGCAUUAUGGUGGAAGGAAAUUUCAAAUUUGAUCGAAUACGGUCAAAAAACUCUAUGCAGGAAGUUUCGGGUUCGAAAUCCGAUUUCAGAUUCAUAAUCAGCGAGCCCCAAAACUUAAAACUUAUGUAAAACAUGUGUAUGCGUAGAGGGUCAACUUUCUCAAGAAUGAAUUAUUCCUUCAAUUUCCACGAUUUUUUUAAAUCAAUUUGAUUCAAACAAUAAUAAUUUACAUUAUAUCGCAAUAAUUAUUCUCGAGUAUUGAAAACCUGGUACACUAUCAGAAAUAGGAAAAACCGCUGAGAAAUAUGCUGAAAAGUUCUCUAAAUAUGAAAAAAAAACAACAAAAAAAAGAAUAAAAAUGCAUAUAAAAUAGGUGGUAAGGAUACUUACCACUAUGACUCAAAGGGUUGAACCUACACAGAGGAAUCGUCGCAUCGGGUGGCUACAUGAUUCAAACGAUUGCAGAGUCAACGUUCCGUAACGUAAUGAGGCGGUCUAAACGAUGCAGCAUUGUGCUAUUUGUAACGAUAAUAGGCAGUACGUACCUUAUAUGCAGCCAAAGCGGAUUAGUAUCACAUAUCGCGGGAAAAUCCACGUAUAUUCCGACGCGAGUUAACGUUCCGUAUACGUAUAAUAAGACUAAUAAGACCCGUACUUUGUACCGGGAGAGAGAAAGAGAGAGAGAGAGAAAGAGAGAGUAACGCUCGACGUUGUUUAUCAUCGGUUUAUAGCAUAUUACAAGAGAAGAAGACGAGAAGACUGCAGCAGACGUCGAGACUGUAAUAAGUUGGCAUAUGGCGCGUGUGUAGAGGGAACGGGAAUUAACGUUAAUUCCCAUUAAUAUACGCGCGGUAGCUUUUGCCAUUAGCACUUUGCAGAGCCGUUUCUCUUACGCUUUCGUUCCCGGUGCCGUUCCCGAUGCGCGGUCUCAACGUUUAAGGGUGAAAAGUGAAACGUGUCGCGACGCAUGAGGGCCGAUUUAACCGGACGACCCGAGAGGAGGAACAACUUUUUCGACAAGCAGAGCCUCGCUCGAGUUUCGGCUUGCGUUAUACCCUAAUUGACCGUUUAAAUUCACGCUUCUUAGAAAAGUCUGCGACGACGCCGCGCCCACGCCUGCAUACGUGUACACAUGAUAAUAAUUUACGAAUCGUAUGUAACGGGGGGGGUUAACAACUCGACGAUUCCAUCACCCUCGUAUUCCCCGAUUUUUAAGUUGAAAAUUAAUUAUUUGACGAAUUAUUUUCGAGCGUCGUUAAACAUAAUUAUUCCACGAAUACUGUUCGAUGCUAUCGCGCGAUGAUCAAGUGCGGUGAAACACUAAACAGAACCGUGCUGGGAACCGUAAAAAGUCAAAGAUUCAACUGUUGGCGGCUAGGCUCAGACUCGCGUAUUAAUUAACAUCUCCUUUCGGCUGUAAGAUCAAAGCAUCGGGUCGAGCUCCGGAUUACAACGACGUUCGAAAAAUCGUAUCCCGGAUUGCGUGAUGAAAUACACGUACGUGUGUAUAAUGCAGCUUGUUUUACGUGUAAUUAAUACAAUGCACCGGAGGGGGAGGUAGAGAAGCGUGCCGAAGUGAAACUCGACGCCGAAGACUAAAGCAUGAGCAGACGGUACGUAAGUGUAAGGAUAAAAUACGGUACGCGUCAUCGGUGCAUCGCAUCUCGGAUAUCUCCGUCUCCAAUUACCUUCCAAGAUAGCAAAGCCGGCGUUUUAACGUGACCGCGGUAAUGAAUAUCGAUAAAAUUCUUGCAUAGCCGUGAAAGCUCGACGAGUACAGUAUUUGGACAUUUUUUGGCCCACGAUGGACGCUCGAACACGUAGCUUCGUAAUACGCAUCGUGCAAACACACGUGGGUUAAAAAAACGCCGAGACAGUCGCCGAGUCGGCGGGUCGAGUUCGCUUCUUCCCGGAGUGAGUGAUUCAUCGUAGCACGGCUCUAAGGGAGUUUCACGUAUUGAAUGAAACCCUCUGUGAACGCCAAGCCCAUACAAUCCGCCUGCGCCUGCACGGCCUCCAGCCAGCUUCUUCGUAAGUCACGGGUUAAGGAUUGAACGCCUCUAUACUCUAUACAUCUUACUUCCAGCUUACGCCGCUUCUACACAUACACCGCGAGAACGGGGUGUCGUGGUACGUGAUGGAAUCAUGGCUAAUUGGGGAGAUUUAAAUUGUUCCCAUCUUUCACUUUUCAUUGAUAAAAAGAUCGGAGCUGGCUGAUGAACCGUUCGCGUUUCGCGACGCGCAGGGUAUACAAUCGGGUAUAAUAGUCGAUGAUUAGUAUUUACGUUUCAAGCUGAUCGGCAAAUUUUAUUCCAAUUCACCGCGUUCCAGGCUUUUUCGCGCCUACUUCCGGCACUGCGUUUCUUCAUUGGAUGUCAAACGCUGCGUGUAAGCAUGUAAUAUCCAGGCGAGGAGGCACGGAGGAACGGUACGAAGAAUUACGCGAACGGAGCUGGGCCCAAAGCACAGUGGGCGGCUUUAAUGGGCUACCAAGGCCGGUUCAAUGAUGCUCUCGGUACCGUCCCAUCCAUUCGCGUUACACACAUCUACCGACUGUCUUUGUAUACACGCACACCGAACACAAAUUGUUGCGUGAUCUCAUAUCGCUGUGUCGUGUACAACGUUUGCUGUUGUACCUAGGUUUGAAGCACUGACACGAUAGAACGGACCCUGCGAGACCAACUGUACGUGCAGCAUCGGAAAAGCGAGAAAGGAAGAUUCUUUCGGAUAGAAAAAUGUUGAAUUUCGACGAGCUAAAGGCCGUGAAGAAUACGUGUACCAUGAAAAACACACAUGCGAAUCUUUGAACGCGGUCAAUUUGUAACAUCAAACUAUGGGCAAUUAUCCAAUGUACGAAGACCGUUUAUAAUCAGAGACGAGAUAAGCUGUGAGGCGAGAUCUGAUUAACCAGGCGGCAUAUUACCACGCACUGCAAACAUACAUCGAAUCCUGUCCUGUUCCUAAGUACUAGUGCCGCAGGAGUGAAUAGCUUGGGCUAAGUAUUACCAUGUCUCCUGCUGCUCAAGUGCUUAUCAAUGGGUCGGGACGCACAGCGCGCUGAACCACGUGCUUUUUCACGCGAGCCGAAGUCGCGAAUAAUCGCGUCGCUGAAAGGUUGGAAUUUGUGUAAACUGACUGAGUGACGAUUGGUUGUUGUAAUAAAUUGGGUUCUUCUUUCGAUCGAAUCGUUGAUGUAUCGACGAAGAAAGUGGAAAAAAAAAUAAUGGUCGUUUGGAGGAGCUGGGAUUUGAACCCAGGACUUUCAGCAUGCGAAGCAGACACUCUACCACUGAGUUACACCCCCGGUACAUACGGAGUUAGAAUUAUUUGUUUAUCACAAACUUACGCCAUCAGCGCUGAUACAGGUUCUAAUCUCUGGUUCGCAAAGAUUGUUGGUAAAUAAAUUGAACGAGAAAUGUAUGGUAAUUAUCCGAUUUCGAAGGUAUAAUGCAGACGUUUUUGUUUCUUUGUUUUUUCACAUAUUUAUUUAAUUUUUCAUGAUAAACUACUUUUAUUUUAUAAAAAUUUUAACAUCUAUAUAUUUAUGUGCACGUUCAGUACGUAAAAUUAUUGUUUUCGCGGAGUGCCCGAUAAAUUUUAUUCGGUAUUAUUAUUACUAUUAUUAUUGUUGUUGCUGUUGUUGUUAUCAUUAUUACUACUACCUAGAUAAUACGAGUAUAUUGAAAAUGAAAAAUUACUAUAUCAUUAUGUCAUGUUCGAAAUGUGAAUAUCAGGUACUAUAUUAUGAACUGUUCUCUCCUAAAGUGUAGACAGACUUGAUUGAGAUCGCCACGCAUGCAACUAUUGGUCAGUUUAAUUCAUUCGAAAGAUCGAGUGCGACGGUGGUUUGUAUUUUUCUUUGUUUUAAGCUGGAUUUUUCAACCAUAUGUUGUUUAUAACGGAAGAAUAAGGUAAACUGAUCAUACGUAAUGCUCUAGCAUAGCUAAGUGUACUUAACGGCACAAGUUGUAUAAAUACAGAUUAUAUCAUAAUUUCUGAGGUAAUAGAAGACUAUAU